rnacentral:rRNA from 1 species
UGGGGAAUAUUGCACAAUGGGCGCAAGCCUGAUGCAGCCAUGCCGCGUGUAUGAAGAAGGCCUUCGGGUUGUAAAGUACUUUCAGCGGGGAGGAAGGGAGUAAAGUUAAUACCUUUGCUCAUUGACGUUACCCGCAGAAGAAGCACCGGCUAACUCCGUGCCAGCAGCCGCGGUAAUACGGCGGGUGCAAGCGUUAAUCGGAAUUACUGGGCGUAAAGCGCACGCAGGCGGUUUGUUAAGUCAGAUGUGAAAUCCCCGGGCUCAACCUGGGAACUGCGUCUGAUACUGGCAAGCUUGAGUCUCGUAGAGGGGGGUAGAAUUCCAGGUGUAGCGGUGAAAUGCGUAGAGAUCUGGAGGAAUACCGGUGGCGAAGGCGGCCCCCUGGACGAAGACUGACGCUCAGGUGCGAAAGCGUGGGGAGCAAACAGG